GGAAUAUAAGAAACCGUUUUUUAACUUUUAACUAAAAAAGCUAAGAACCGGUUCUUAAAACUCUUUUUAAGAACCGGUUCUUAGCUUUUUUUAGUUAAAAGUUAAGAGACGGGUUCUUAUAUUCC
rfam:Brassica oleracea var. oleracea cultivar TO1000 chromosome C3, whole genome shotgun sequence